GGCGGCGUGCCUAAUACAUGCAAGUCGCGCGCGGGAAGCAGACAGAAAUCUUCGGAUGGACGUCUGUGGAACGAGCGGCGGAUGGGUGAGUAACACGUGGGCAACCUGCCUGUAAGGGCUGGGAUAACUCGCGGAAACGUGAGCUAAUACCGGAUGAAGUCUUUUAUCGCCUGAUAAAGGAAUAAAAAGGUGGCAUAUGCUACCACUUACAGAUGGGCCCGUGGCGCAUUAGCUAGUUGGUAGGAUAAAGCCUACCAAGGCGACGAUGCGUAGCCGACCUGAGAGGGUGAUCGGCCACACUGGGACUGAGACACGGCCCAGACUCCUACGGGAGGCAGCAGUAGGGAAUCUUCCGCAAUGGACGCAAGUCUGACGGAGCGACGCCGCGUGAGUGAUGAAGGUCUUCGGAUCGUAAAACUCUGUUGUCAGGGAAGAACAAGUGCCGUUCGAAUAGGGCGGUACCUUGACGGUACCUAACCAGAAAGCCCCGGCUAACUACGUGCCAGCAGCUGC
rnacentral:rRNA from 1 species